UUCGCCGACACGCCCGCACCCUCCCGUAUAUCGCACAUCUCAAUGCGACCGAUUCCCACCUGGCUAGGCCUAAACACCGUCACCCAGAUCUUCCUCCAGAUCUUCUAUUCAUCACACAAGGACACAGUAACGUGGAAAGAAAGAUUGGUGCAGAGUCGGCGCAUAUUUCACCCAAGCAGAGAAAAAUAUCACCGGCCAAAGAGUCACCCGAGGUGAGAUGAUGGGAGGGGGCGGGGCUGCCAAACUGUCAAUCAUUCCACAUAUGUUAAUUGGCACAUCCGCGGAUUAUACGGGGCAUAACUCAUCGCUGGAAACUAAUUAUAUUAAAUAAGACAUAAGCAAAAGUACGGGUUUUCAUAAACGACAAGUAUAAACAUUCAGAUUCAUUUUAAUGACUUUUUACAUCAAAUGCAGGAAAACUACUGAAGUGGUAUUUACAAUAUCAAAAAUAUAACAACAUUAUGGACUUACUUUCCUCACAGAAUAUAGAAAGAAUAAUUUAAUAAUAAACGGUUUUAAAAAUAAAACUGGUACUUAUUACAGUGGGGUGUAAUUUUGUUUUUUAUAUAUAAUUUUCCAUAACGUUAAUAACAGCACAUUGAAAAGAAAAAACAAUUGUGUCUCUUGCUACUACAAGCCCCUGCUGAAUCAUCCGCCCAGAGGUCACCAUGUAAUUGCCACGUGAAAACACUGCUAUUAAAUUGCACACACACGUUCACAUGUACGUGGCUUCACAUUCUGUAGUUAGACUCUUGGACAGUCAUAACGCAGCUCAGAUGAAAACGUCCCACAGGUAGAAGGCAGCCGUAGAACAGAAGGUAAAAUGGGUCAGUAGACACGUUUAAUACGCACUUUUUCUUUUUUAUUACAAGUGCUGCCAUAGUGACAACAAAAUUCCAACAAGUUCUAUCAUUCCUUUUUUUUUUUUUUUUUCUUCACCAGAACGGAACCUUAAAUACUCCAGGAACACAUGCAGAAAGACAUCAACGCUCCCGGAAGUGAGGAAA